GUGCCAGCAGCCGCGGUAAUACGGGAGUGGCAAGCGUUAUCCGGAAUUAUUGGGCGUAAAGCGUCCGCAGGCGGCCCUUCAAGUCUGCUGUUAAAAAGUGGAGCUUAACUCCAUCAUGGCAGUGGAAACUGUUGGGCUUGAGUGUGGUAGGGGCAGAGGGAAUUCCCGGUGUAGCGGUGAAAUGCGUAGAUAUCGGGAAGAACACCAGUGGCGAAGGCGCUCUGCUGGGCCAUCACUGACGCUCAUGGACGAAAGCCAGGGGAGCGAAAGGGAUUAGAUACCCCUGUAGUCCUGGCCGUAAACGAUGAACACUAGGUGUCGGGGGAAUCGACCCCCUCGGUGUCGUAGCCAACGCGUUAAGUGUUCCGCCUGGGGAGUACGCACGCAAGUGUGAAACUCAAAGGAAUUGACGGGGGCCCGCACAAGCGGUGGAGUAUGUGGUUUAAUUCGAUGCAACGCGAAGAACCUUACCAGGGUUUGACAUGAUACGAAUUUCUUUGAAAAAAGAAAGUGCCGUUUGGAACGUAUACACAGGUGGUGCAUGGC
rnacentral:rRNA from 1 species